CAGCAGCAGCAGCACACAGAGCCUCCAGAAGAAGAGGGCGCCAUGGGGGGAGCUCUCGAGGAAGGCUUCCAGCUCAUGGUGGACACCGCUACUUCCCUAGAGACAAGUUUUUCCAAGCUGACUGUAAUGUAAGGUAUAAAUAAGCCGGUCUGUGACAGUAUGAAUCAGCCUGGAUAAUAAUUGGAUAUGGACACACUGAAAGGUCCAGUGGAUCCAUCGCAGAGAAGCUUCACAGGACAGAUCAUUCCAGUGAGUGGAAACCUCAGUUCUGAUAUGUGCACAGUCCUCUUCACCCCACAGUGGGUCUCCACCACCAUUAUCAGGCUGAUGUAGUCCCCAGUACCUACUGGGAUAGAGAACGACAGAAUCAUGACACUGUAUCUCCGACAUGAACACAGUCCUUAAACAACUUCAUCACCAAGACCCAUCAGCCAUGGAUAUUUCAUUUUAUAUACAAAACUGUACAAUUAACCCAAAUAAUGAACUCAGUAACUGCAAGACGUUUGUGUAAAACAAGUGAUUCAAAUAAAUUUCUGUUUUUUUAUACAA